rnacentral:rRNA from 1 species
GACGAACCGUGCGAACGUUGUUCGGAUUCACUGGGCUUAAAGGGCGCGUAGGCGGCUUGCCAAGUCAGGGGUGAAAUCCUUCGGCUCAACCGGAGAAGUGCUUCUGAUACUGGCGGGCUGGAGGGAGGUAGGGGCAGACGGAACUUCCGGUGGAGCGGUGAAAUGCGUAGAUAUCGGAAGGAACGCCGGUGGCGAAAGCGGUCUGCUGGACCUCUUCUGACGCUGACGGCG